rnacentral:rRNA from 1 species
GAUGAACGCUAGCUACAGGCUUAACACAUGCAAGUCGCGGGGCAGCAUGGGGGUUGCUUGCAACUCCCGAUGGCGACCGGCGCACGGGUGAGUAACGCGUAUCCAACCUGCCCUUCACCACGGGAUAACCCGGCGAAAGUCGGACUAAUACCGUAUGUUGUCCAUUGACGGCCUCCGAUUUGGACGAAAGGCUUUGCGGUGAAGGAUGGGGAUGCGUCCGAUUAGCCAGACGGCGGGGUAACGGCCCACCGUGGCUACGAUCGGUAGGGGUUCUGAGAGGAAGGUCCCCCACACUGGAACUGAGACACGGUCCAGACUCCUACGGGAGGCAGCAGUGAGGAAUAUUGGUCAAUGGGCGUAAGCCUGAACCAGCCAAGUAGCGUGCAGGAUGACGGCCCUAUGGGUUGUAAACUGCUUUUAUGCGGGGAUAAAGUGGCCCACGUGUGGGCUUUUGCAGGUACCGCAUGAAUAAGGACCGGCUAAUUCCGUG